rnacentral:tRNA from 1 species
ACUAUUUUGGCAGAAGAGUGCCUUGGGUUUAGAACCUAAAUAUGUAAUAAGUGAUUACAAAUAGUA